rnacentral:rRNA from 1 species
GACGAACGCUGGCGGCGUGCUUAACACAUGCAAGUCGAACGGAAAGGCCCCUUUGGGGGUACUCGAGUGGCGAACGGGUGAGUAACACGUGAGUAACCUGCCCUUGACUUCGGGAUAACUUCAGGAAACUGGGGCUAAUACCGGAUAGGAAUCCUUGCUGCAUGGUGGGGGUUGGAAAGCUUCGGCGGUUUUGGAUGGACUCGCGGCUUAUCAGCUUGUUGGUGGGGUAGUGGCUUACCAAGGCUUUGACGGGUAGCCGGCCUGAGAGGGCGACCGGCCACAUUGGGACUGAGAUACGGCCCAGACUCCUACGGGAGGCAGCAGUGGGGAAUAUUGCACAAUGGGCGGAAGCCUGAUGCAGCAACGCCGCGUGCGGGAGGACGGCCUUCGGGUUGGAAACCGCUUUCAGCAGGGGCGAAGCUUGUGGUGACGGUACCUGCAGAAGAAGCACCGGCUAACUACGUG